AAAAGUUUUAUAGGUUUUCAACUUAUUUGAACUAUUCGGAAAGAAAAAAACAACAACAUAUUUGUUCAGGUAAGAAAAAAAUCAAAACAAACUUUAUAAUUUCCUCCGUUAUAUACCUAUUUUCAUUACGCCUUGCUAUUUCUCCAUUACGAAAUGCAACAAUUAUAUAGUUUCGUUGAAUUUAAAACUGACAAUCUAAAACGACAACGAAGUUACGUGUUCACCAUACUCACACUUAACCGUCUACCAAUUCAAAAUCAUAUCAUCGGCAUACUUUAAUGAAAUAAUAUCAUAUCUUGGAUAUUUUAA
rnacentral:lncRNA from 1 species